rnacentral:rRNA from 1 species
AGAGUUUGAUCCUGGCUCAGGAUGAACGCUGGCGGCGUGCCUAAUACAUGCAAGUCGAGCGAACGGACGAGAAGCUUGCUUCUCUGAUGUUAGCGGCGGACGGGUGAGUAACACGUGGAUAACCUACCUAUAAGACUGGGAUAACUUCGGGAAACCGGAGCUAAUACCGGAUAAUAUUUUGAACCGCAUGGUUCAAAAGUGAAAGACGGUCUUGCUGUCACUUAUAGAUGGAUCCGCGCUGCAUUAGCUAGUUGGUAAGGUAACGGCUUACCAAGGCAACGAUGCAUAGCCGACCUGAGAGGGUGAUCGGCCACACUGGAACUGAGACACGGUCCAGACUCCUACGGGAGGCAGCAGUAGGGAAUCUUCCGCAAUGGGCGAAAGCCUGACGGAGCAACGCCGCGUGAGUGAUGAAGGUCUUCGGAUCGUAAAACUCUGUUAUUAGGGAAGAACAUAUGUGUAAGUAACUGUGCACAUCUUGACGGUACCUAAUCAGAAAGCCAUGGCUAACUACGUGCCAGCAGCCGCGGUAAUACGUAGGUGGCAAGCGUUAUCCGGAAUUAUUGGGCGUAAAGCGCGCGUAGGCGGUUUUUUAAGUCUGAUGUGAAAGCCCACGGCUCAACCGUGGAGGGUCAUUGGAAACUGGAAAACUUGAGUGCAGAAGAGGAAAGUGGAAUUCCAUGUGUAGCGGUGAAAUGCGCAGAGAUAUGGAGGAACACCAGUGGCGAAGGCGACUUUCUGGUCUGUAACUGACGCUGAUGUGCGAAAGCGUGGGGAUCAAACAGGAUUAGAUACCCUGGUAGUCCACGCCGUAAACGAUGAGUGCUAAGUGUUAGGGGGUUUCCGCCCCUUAGUGCUGCAGCUAACGCAUUAAGCACUCCGCCUGGGGAGUACGACCGCAAGGUUGAAACUCAAAGGAAUUGACGGGGACCCGCACAAGCGGUGGAGCAUGUGGUUUAAUUCGAAGCAACGCGAAGAACCUUACCAAAUCUUGACAUCCUUUGACAACUCUAGAGAUAGAGCCUUCCCCUUCGGGGGACAAAGUGACAGGUGGUGCAUGGUUGUCGUCAGCUCGUGUCGUGAGAUGUUGGGUUAAGUCCCGCAACGAGCGCAACCCUUAAGCUUAGUUGCCAUCAUUAAGUUGGGCACUCUAAGUUGACUGCCGGUGACAAACCGGAGGAAGGUGGGGAUGACGUCAAAUCAUCAUGCCCCUUAUGAUUUGGGCUACACACGUGCUACAAUGGACAAUACAAAGGGCAGCGAAACCGCGAGGUCAAGCAAAUCCCAUAAAGUUGUUCUCAGUUCGGAUUGUAGUCUGCAACUCGACUACAUGAAGCUGGAAUCGCUAGUAAUCGUAGAUCAGCAUGCUACGGUGAAUACGUUCCCGGGUCUUGUACACACCGCCCGUCACACCACGAGAGUUUGUAACACCCGAAGCCGGUGGAGUAACCUUUUAGGAGCUAGCCGUCGAAGGUGGGACAAAUGAUUGGGGUGAAGUCGUAACAAGGUAGCCGUAUCGGAAGGUGCGGCUG